UACGAAGGGGGCUAGCGUUGCUCGGAAUCACUGGGUGUAAAGCGCACGUAGGCGGAUUGCUAAGUCAGGGGUGAAAUCCUGGAGCUCAACUCCAGAACUGCCUUUGAUACUGGCGACCUUGAGUCCGGGAGAGGUGAGUGGAACUGCGAGUGUAGAGGUGAAAUUCGUAGAUAUUCGCAAGAACACCAGUGGCGAAGGCGGCUCACUGGCCCGUAACUGACGCUGAGGCACGAAAGCGUGGGGAGCAAACAGGG
rnacentral:rRNA from 1 species